rnacentral:rRNA from 1 species
CCUACGGUAGGCAGCAGUGGGGAAUAUUGCACAAUGGGGGGAACGCUGAUGCAGCGACGCCGCGUGAGUGAAGAAGUAUUUCGGUAUGUAAAGCUCUAUCAGCAGGGAAGAAAAUGACGGUACCUGACUAAGAAUCCCCGUCUAACUACGUGCCAGCAGCCGCGGUACUACGUAGGGGGCAAGCGUUAUCCGGAUUUACUGGGUGUAAAGGGAGCGCAGACGGCUUUGCAAGUCUGUAGUGAAAGGUGGGGGCCCAACCCCCAGACUGCUCUGGAAACGGUAAAGCUGGAGUGCAGGAGAGGUAAGCGCAAUGCGUGGUGUAGCGGUGAAAUGCGGAGAUAUCAGGCAGAACACCAGUGGCGAAGGCGACUUACUGGACUGUAACUGACGUUGAGGCUCGAAAGCGUGGGGAGCAAACAGGAUUAGAUACCCUUGUAGUC